AUGCUUUACAGGUGGAUGAGUUGUGGAAGGUGUAUGAGAUAUUUACAUCCCUCUCAGUUGAUCCUGGGGUGAAAAAGUCUGCAGUGGACAAACUGACCAUUAUACUGCAAGUCUAGAACACGAGUCGAGAGAAAGAUGUGACGCCGUGCCGAAGUGGUUGGCCGUGUUUAUGCAGCAGUACAGAUUCGUGGCGCUUCUCCUGGUGAUGUCCGACUUGUUGCCGGUCUUGGCAAAUCUGUCACUUGCCCUGCAGAUGAGGGACGCGGUAUACAACGCAGUCGGUACGUACCGCUGGUGAUGGGUGCUAUCACAACAGUCCGUUCCGUGAAGGAGCACCCUGGGGAGAACUUCCAGCAUCUUCCACAGGCCAUUGACCAUCUCAUCAACCAGCCGUUCCAAUUUACCCGCCCAAAGCCGUGAGACGACAUUGACUUUAAGGAGCAAGUGUACGACAAGUUCAUUGAUGACGUGGUUUAGCAACCUUGAGCAGCGAUUUCCACACAUCCCCGUGUUGGAAGCGUUCUGUGCAUUCAAACCUACCACCCUACCGGCCGGAGACCAAGCAGAAUGCUGGCGGACCGAUUUACCCGCGUUCUUCCAGAUGCCAGUGAAGCCGCCCCUAAAAACCGAGUGCUGAAAAACACUAUCACGCAGGACACGACACUCCGCCAGGCAACUACAACAGUCAUGGUGCUGAAGGUGUCCGGACCGUUGCGGGGUGCCAUGCCUAAUCUAAGUUUAUUAGCUACUGCGGGCCUGUUUCUUCUGUAGUCAACAGCCGACUGCGAGUGAGGGUUCUUGGCCUUGCUGUGUGUAAAAACGGCCCGACGUACUACGGAACAUACUACAGAAUCAAACGUUGAACGCCAUCUUACGGAUGUCUAUGGAGGACCCCACCGUUGCCAACUUUAUGGAUUAUUCAUCGAGCAGAUGGUGACAUAUGGAGACUUGGGUCGAGCAGAUGGUGACAGAGUGGGGCAAGGACAGGCACAGGCUCCUUGUUUAGAUUAAAAGUUUUAUAUGUUGUCUGACAUUAUGUGUGUAGUCGCCGUGCAUACUGUCGCGUCAUCAUCAUCAUUAAUGUUGUAGCAUUCAUUUGUUCUAUUCUGUGUUUUUGUCAUAAUAUUAUUUAAUAAAUUAUAAUCACAUUUACAUUAAUA